rnacentral:rRNA from 1 species
GACAGAGGUGCCGAGCGUUAGGCGGAAUCACUGGGCUUAAAGCGUGUGUAGGCGGGCGAUCAAGUACCUUGUGAAAUCCCACGGCUCAACCGUGGAACCGCUGGGUAUACUGGUUGUCUUGAGCCGGCUAGGGGCGAGCGGAACAGACGGUGGAGCGGUGAAAUGCGUAGAUAUCGUCUGGAACGCCGAAGGUGAAAACAGCUCGCUGGGGCCGCGCUGACGCUGAGACACGGAAAGCCAGGGGAGCGAACGGG